AAACACAUGCGUACGAUCACCGAAGUUAAGCAACGUCGGACCUGGUCAGUACCUAGAUGGGUGACAACUUGGGAAUACCAGGUGCUGUAAG
rnacentral:rRNA from 1 species